rnacentral:rRNA from 1 species
AUGAUGAAAGAAAUAUUGGAAACUAGCGAAAAUCUUGGGAAGGCUUUACAGAAGAAAGCACAAGACAUAGUAAAUGCAGUUCGUCUAGUGCAUUCCACAAAAGUACUUCUAGAAGAGAUGAGAUCAGAUGAAGGAUGGGAGUUGUUCAUUGGAAAUGUUGUUGAGUUCUGUGUGGAGCAUGAUAUAGAUAUUUCAGACAUGGAAGAACUAUACAUUCUGCGUGGUGGGCGUGCUCGUCGUCAACCUGAUCACUUUACUAGAGAAAGGUAUCUAAGAGUGGAGAUAUUUCGAGCAACAAUUGACAACCAACUAAAUGAAUUGAAUCUUAGGUUCAAUGAGAAAGUGAUGGAUCUCUUAUCCAUUAGUGUUACAUUGAUUCCAAAAAAUGGAUUUACAUCAUUCAACGUCAAGGAAAUAUGUUCAAUGGUGGAGAAAUAUUAUCCGGCUGAUUUUACACAACAAGAGAUAUAUGGGUUGGAGAUUCAGCUCAACCAUUUUGCUGCAGAUACUAAAAACAGUGGAGACUUGAAGAAGCCCAUCACCAUAACUUCUUUAUGCCGAUGCCUUGUUGAGACAGGACAAGAUAGAAUUUACAAUUUGCUUGAUAGGUUGCUUCGAUUGCUUGUUACUCUCCCGGUUUCCACUGCAAGUGCUGAGCGUGCUUUCUCGAGCUUGAAGAUUAUCAAGUCAAGGCUACGUAAUCGAAUGGAAGAUGAUUUUCUUGCAGACAGAUUGUUGCUACAAAUUGAACGAGAAAUUGCAUCAAAAAUUUCUUGUGAAGAUAUAAUUGCUGAUUUCAAAAGUAGGAAGAAUAGAAGAUCGUAUCUUUAG